UACAGAGGGUGCGAGCGUUAAUCGGAAUUACUGGGCGUAAAGCGCGCGUAGGCGGCUUUGCAAGUCGGGUGUGAAAUCCCCAGGCUUAACCUGGGAACUGCAUUCGAGACUGCAUUGCUAGAGUAUGGGAGAGGGAAGUGGAAUUUCCGGUGGAGCGGUGAAAUGCGUAGAGAUCGGAAAGAACACCAACGGCGAAGGCACUCUGCUGGGCCGACACUGACACUGAGAGACGAAAGCUAGGGGAGCAAAUGGG
rnacentral:rRNA from 1 species